CUGCGAGAGCGGUACCAAAUCGAGAUGAACUCUGAAUACCCUGUGUGUAGCGAGGCAGUCAGACUGUGGGGGAUAAGCUCCAUGGUCGAGAGGGAAACAGCCCAGACCGCCAGCUAAGGUCCCCAAAUCAACACUAAGUGAUAAAGGAGGUGGGAUUGCCCAGACAACCAGGAGGUUUGCCUAGAAGCAGCCAUCCUCAAAGGAGUGCGUAAUAGCUCACUGGUCGAGCGAUCCUGCGCCGAAAAUGAAUGGGGCUAAGUGUUGUACCGAAGCUGCGGAUUUAUGGUAGGGGAGCGUUCUAUGUGGGGCGAAGCGUUAGCGUGAGCGGGCGUGGACUGCAUAGAAGUGAGAAUGUCGGCUUGAGUAGCGAAAACAUGGGUGAGAAUCCCAUGCACCGAAACCCUAAGGGUUCCUCCGGCAGGCUCGUCCGCGGAGGGUUAGUCUGGACCUAAGGCGAGGCCGAAAGGCGUAGUCGAUGGAUAACAGGUCAACAUUCCUGUACCGGUUAUGUUUUGGGAAGAGGGACGGAGAAGGCUAGCCAAGCCAGAUGUUGGUUACUGGUUCAAGCGUUCGAGGCGUUGAGGAUCGGCGAAAACGAUCCGAGCUGAGGCGUGAGUACGAGCUGCUACGGCAGCGAAGUUGGUGAUGUCAUGCUUCCAAGAAAAGCUCUAUACCCGUUAAGGCAUAACUGCCAGUACCCGAAACCGACACAGGUGGGGUGGUAGAGAAUACCGAGGUGCGCGAGGUAACUCUCUCUAAGGAACUCGGCAAAAUGGCCCCGUAACUUCGGGAGAAGGGGUGCCACAGCAAUGUGGUCGCAGUGAAGAGGCCCUGGCGACUGUUUACCAAAAACACAGGUCUCCGCUAAGUCGCAAGACGAUGUAUGGGGGCUGACGCCUGCCCAGUGCCGGAAGGUUAAGGAAGCCGGUCAGCGUAAGCGAAGCUGGCGACUGAAGCCCCGGUGAACGGCGGCCGUAACUAUAACGGUCCUAAGGUAGCGAAAUUCCUUGUCGGGUAAGUUCCGACCCGCACGAAAGGCGUAACGAUCAGGGCGCUGUCUCGGAGAGAGGCUCGGCGAAAUAGAAUUGUCUGUGAAGAUGCGGACUACAUACACCCGGACAGAAAGACCCUAUGAAGCUUUACUGUAGCUUGGUAUUGUGCCCGGGCUCUGAAUGCGCAGGAUAGGUGGGAGACGUUGAUCUAGUGCUCGUGGGUACUAGGGAGUCAAUGGUGAGAUACCACUCUUUCAGAGCUAGGGUUCUAACGUUCACCCGUUAUCCGGGGAGCGGACAGUAUCAGGUGGGCAGUUUGACUGGGGCGGUCGCCUCCUAAAAGGUAACGGAGGCGCGCAAAGGUUUCCUCAGGCUGGUUGGAAAUCAGCCGACGAGUGCAAAAGCAGAAGGAAGCUUGACUGUGAGACCUACAAGUCGAACAGGGACGAAAGUCGGCUUUAGUGAUCCGACGGUUCUGAGUGGAAGGGCCGUCGCUCAACGGAUAAAAGUUACUCUAGGGAUAACAGGCUGAUCUCCCCCAAGAGUUCAUAUCGACGGGGAGGUUUGGCAGAUCGGAAGAGCACACGUCUGAACUCCAGUCACACGCAACAUC
rnacentral:rRNA from 1 species